CACAGAAACAAAAUCAUAUUUUUAACUGGGAAAAGCACCAUUUCUUCCAUAACUAAGAUGUUAAUAAGACGUUUCCAUGUUUUAUAUCACAACUAAUAUUUUUAGCUUUCAUACAUCUGGAAUUGAGUGCUGGCAAGUAGCAGAAUUAUUUCAGACACUGACCGACAUGCUGUCACUUCUGGGGGACUGUUUUAUGAAUAAGAGAGUGUCCUAUCUACUUUUUGCAUCAUAACUGUACGACUUUACACCUAGACUGAUUUCUAACAAUUACACAGAAUCAUAUAUUCUACGUUUUUGUAGCUAAUUUGACCCUGGCUAUGUUAUUUUCCCACCCACAUUUUCCUUUUGCCUAAACUUCGACUAUUUUUCCCCUUUUGUAUGUGCUCUUAUAAGCCUCCUCGAAUGCUUUAGGAACAAAACUGGAUAUGAAUAAAUGAAGUCAGCAUCUAGUUUGUGACGCGUGAACAAGAUCAUCUUCAAAAUUAAGGAUUUUCAUGGAAAAGGAUAUUAGAUCCUCUUCCAGCUGUGAGGUAAAUUUUUUGUAAGUUGGGGAUAUGUAACUAUGAAAAUUUAGACAUCUCUCAACAGAUGAUCCUUAAGAAUUUCAUGAAUAUUACUGGGUCACAUAUUACUAAUUCUAUUUAGUGAUAGUUACUGAAAAACAAGUCCUCAUGUAGGAUCACAGUAUUUGAGUGGCUGUCUUCUCACAUUAUGCUUACUCAAACGCCCACUAAAAUAGAAAGGUAUAUAUGGCAAAAAAUAAGCUAUAAAAGGGAAGCUCCUGUUCACGAAUAUCUGUCGACGAUUCCCCCCUCACCUCUAUUCAGUUUCGCUGAAAUGCUACCUUUUCAGUGAGGCCUACUGGACUGCCUUUUAAAAUGGACACUCUUGCCGGCCCCACACCGGGCAUGGCACUGUCUCCCUUGCCAUGAUGCGACCGGGGCUUUUGUUCACUCGGUGAAUCUUCGUGAACAAGGAUGUGAAAAUGCAGAAGCCGAAGGUGCCGCAGUGCCAUCAGACCGACUUCAGCGCUGUGACCACUGAGCCACACACCCAUGAGAGAGAUGCGGAACCCAGAGAAAGUCACCUCUGUAAAAGCUGCGCCUUUCCCAGAGAGGAAGACUAUAAAAAAUUCAAGCUGCUCACUAGAACCAAAAGCUCACACCGACAGCCUGGGAGCCGCAGACCUCGGUGCUAGUUCCACCUCUGCCACGAACUUGCUUAGGCCUCGGCUUCCUCAGCUGAACACGAUGAGUCUAGACAGGGGAUCUGUUGUUUUUGCCAUCACUAAUGAUAAAACUGGAUGGUUACCAGAGAGAAGGAUGUUCUAAGCUGUCGGCCACUUUAGAGCAAUGAAGUCAAAUAAGCCAUCGCAUGUGUGUGACCCAGCGCUCUCUGAAGUACUGCGAGAGGUGAUUCGGUGUGCUGCCCACCGGAUCUGGGCGGCCACGGGCCAGCUCAAGCCCAUGAUUUUCCAGUCAGCAGCGAGGUGACUGCGACACAGCUGAAAGUUUACCUCCACGUAUUGGCGUCGGGAUCGAAAACUUCAAUGGUCUUCAAGUAGGUCGUGCCGUCAAAGCCCCCCACAGCCAUGAGCUGCCCGUUCACCACUGCCAAGCCCACCUGCGGGAGUGAACACAGCGCCGCUGAAGAGACUGCCAGUCGCCAGGGGAUCUACACUGGUUUCUGGGUAAAUCUUUAUGGCCUUACAGUCUGGUUAUUUGUCUGGUUUACUUGAUUACUUAAUAGACUUUUGUCUGUGUUACAGAGGAAAACGGUAAUGACGAAAAUCUAUAAAUUAUAGGAACUAUAAUAUUAUAUAAUUAGAAUGUUUACACAGAGUUGAAAGCAGGUAUUUCUUGAAUUUUAGGAAAAGCAAUCACUGGGCGUGAACAAGAAUCUCCAAACUCCUUUUACUCCUUUUGGUAUUUGCCUUUUCUAAGUCACUAUUUAAAUUACCACUGAAACUCUCUUUUUAAAAUACAGAUCUAUCCACGUGGUCACGUUCCCCUGAAAACCUUCUAAGCCUCCCUACCACCUGAAGAGAAGUUAAAGUCCUUCUGCCAUUGAGGCCCUCCGCAAGUCCACACUAGCCCGUUUUCGCCUCGCCGCCCAAUGCACCCUGUGCCAAAGAAAUACGAGAUGAACUGCCAGUCCCAGAAAACAGACGUGUUGCCUAUGUCCACACUUUUGCGCAUGUUGUCCCCUGGCUGGUGUUCUCUUUCUUUGUCCUAGAAAACCUCAUUCUUCUCUCAUGGCCUCACUUCCAUGCGACUUUCUCUGGUCAGUCUCUUCUCUGCCCCCGGGGCGUUAAGCACAUUCUCCCAGGUUCUCUCCUUUAAUGCACGGGCCACUUCUAUAGGAUUUGCUUUUAAUAAUGAGCUGUAAACAUUUAGUUUCCUUUCACUAAGUUGGGAAGUCCUUGAGAGGAAUCACGUCAUACCCGUUCUUGCUUUCCAGGUACACGGUAAGCACUUCAUCUUUGCUAACGAGUGAAAAGAGAAUUAACAGAACGUAGCAGCAAAAACAACAGGGAUGUGACUAAGCGGCUGUUGGUUCCAGUAACAAAGAGCCAGGACGGAUUCCCAGCAGCUUGUAAAGCAGAGGGAGGAAGAAUUAUUUGGGGAAUAUACUAGAAGACUGGCUGCACAGGGGCUAAGGAAGAGCUAAGAGCUGCAGUCUCCUAGAAGGAAAAUAAUUAAUAACCUGCCGCCCUGGGGGACGCGGACUGCCUUGGGAACGGCCCACCUGUGUUGAGUGGCGACGUCCCGUCGGAGCCGCCCACGGCGUAUAAGAAGCCUCCUAACACAGCCACGGCCACGCCGAGCCUUCGGGUGCUCAUGGAAGCCACGCGAGUCCACUUGUUCUCCUUUGGGUCAUACCUGCAGGGAGAGAAACCGAAGAUUGCACGCGUUUUUAAAUGUUAUAGAUAAAGCUAAAGCUCCUUUGGAGUUCCACCUGAUUCCCGGUCUCUUCCCAUUUGAUUUGGCGUAUCCUUCAAGGCUUAUCAGUAAAAUACUUUUAAAUAGGUAUAUGCCUAUUCACAUGUAUAUUCUUUAUGUGCAGCAUGUUUUCCUUACAUAAAGAAUGGCACACAGUGGGCAUCGCUUUCCAGGGAAGAAAGAAGAGCAUGCGUACCUGCAGUGACAGCGGCAUGAGAGAGGAGCGUGUCUAAGCACAGUGAGCAGUUUGGGGGGUCUGCAGUAGCAUGGCUGGGGAACAGUGGUGUGCCCGGGGAGACAGACUGGACAAAUAGGUGGCGGUCAGAUCAUAAGGGACUUGCAUGUCGCGCUAAGUGUCUAGGCUGCCACAGACGCAAUACUAAAGCAGGAAGUCGCAUCUGUUUCCUAAUUAACCUCCCGAAUGACACUAUCUGAACAGCAGAGAAAAAAUUUCCAAUUUCCAGUUGCCC